UUCUGCCCAAUGAUUUUAAUGGCCGCAGUACUUUGACUGUGCUAAGGUAGCAUAAUAAUUUGGCUUUUAAUUAAGGUCGAGAAUGAAUGGGAGACGGGGGGGUUGUCUCUUUGGGGAUAUUUAAAUUUACUUACUAGGUGAAAAUUCCUAUAAAUUACAAUAGACGAGAAGACCCUUAGAAUUUUAAUUUUUUUGUUGGGGCGACAGGGUUACAGCUAACUUACCUAAGAUUAAGACUUGUCGAGAGUGAAUAAAUUACCUGAGGGAUAACAGCAUAAUAAUAAGAUUAUGACCUCGAUGUUGGAUUAGGGAGUAGUGGUAAGUAACUGCUA
rnacentral:rRNA from 1 species